UUGGUGAAUAUGCAGAAGUAAAAUAGUUAUCUAAAUACUAAUUAAAGAAUACAUCAAAAUCUUUCCAUGAUACAGACCAUUAAAAGAAAAAUUUAGUCCUGAUUUCUCUCUCCCUUCAUUUAAUGAGUUGAUGAUGGCAAGUCCACCUUUCAAUCAUCAUUUUGUAUAGGCAUGUCUAACUUUGAAAAAGAAAAAUUUUGGUGUGGUGUCCGAAGUCUUUCCACUCCCAGGAAAGAUUUAAAGUCAUUGCUUGCCUCUGCAGAUAGAAGAUACACACACAGACUACUUCUCUUGAAAGAAAAAAAAAAAAGUUUAGAAAAUUUGUCCUUCUGGAAAUCUUCCUAGCACAUCUCUGAUGAUUUAUAGACCAUAGUAACAAAUUUCAACUGAAACUGAAGAGUCCCCGUAUCUGUAAAAUCAUGAAAUGUUAUACCUCUAUACGAACUGAGAAACCAAGGUAAAAGGCCAGGUCUACCAAAGCCUUAAGGCUUUGCCUUUAAUUCCUGUUGAAAUCCAGAGCAUUUCAGUACAAAAAUUCAUUUGCUGAUCUGAAGCAAGCCAACUGGCCAAUGAAGGAUCAGUUACAGGCAUAAGAAGAGGCUAUGUGAAUAGCAUAAGCACUAAUGCAUUGAACUAACGAGCUGGAGUUAUGCUGAGUUUUGCUAUAGUUCAUCCAGCCCUUGAUUUCAGUAGGGAGUCACAUUUCCAGACCACUGUUUUUGCAAAGCUCUARAGUGAUCUGGUAGCUUACCUUCAUCAUUCUUUAGAGAUACAGGUUUCCCUGAAAUAGUUGCAGAGAACAUACAUGUGCUCCUCCAGUCCAGUAGCUGGUGCAUCCAAGAAAGUUUCAUUUUAAUUUGAGACAGAAAUCAUCACAGCACCAAGCUCUUGGAGAGGGUGCUUGAUAUGCAUUUCAUGGAAUAAUUUAGAUUUGUGUGACAGCAGUGGCAAUCACAUAUUUAGCAACCUUAGUUGACUACAGCACUUGUGACUGAUGAAAAUGAUUACACAAGUGCAAAAGAGUAGUGAACUGGAGCCACCUAUUUUCUCAUUCACCUCAAACAACUACUUCUCAACAGGAGCACACUCUAGUAAGAAGCAUAUACACCUAAAUGAUUAUUUGUAUAGAAAAAUCUGCUUGGAGAUGUGAGUACCCUGUACCUCUGAAAGAUCUGUGAAAGCAGGAGAUACAUAUGCAUCUCUGUGUUUGCUUGUAUGUAUAAAUUAUCUGGAAAAAUUUUGCUUGUUUCAGCUGAAUGUAUACCACAUGUAUUUAACUGAAAGACUUUGGUCUUAGCUAACUGAGGUCUUUCAGGAAGGAGGGCUCACAGUUGUAGAUCUAAGAAUAUGUUUUUCUUAAAGAAGGGAAAAACUGGCAUAUUUAUAUCUCAUUACAGUAGUUCAGGGUAGAAUCUCUAAAUUAUAAUUUAGGAUGCAUUAUUUGAAGGCAUGUGUAAAUGCAGAUCUGAAAAGAGAGUCACAUUUUCUGGGCCAGGUUCUGAUCCAUGUAUAUUGUCCAAUUAUAUUUAUUCUUAGAGAGAGGUUCUGAGAAGGGUCAAGGGCAGGACUGCCGCAGCUUACAGAACUGCAGUUCUUUCACUUGCUUAACGACUGUUCACUAGAAAGGACAGGCUCUGGAGUGCCAAUGCAUUCCAAAUAGUGCUAAAUAACAAGCCUACUGCUCUAGGACAUUCCCAGUACUGGUUCUCAAAUUUCCACAAAAAGACAGUUCCACCAGAAACCAUAUAUAUCUGUACAAACAAAUUUCAGGGGGGCUUUUCUGCUCACAUUAGAUUGAUGUUAAUCCUCUGAUUGUAUAAUCAGUGUCUGUGCUACCAUGUAGCUCUCAUGUGCCAGCAGUAAAUCAGGUCUCCAGGUUUUGAUAGGCUUUUCAUAUUAAUGCAAACAAGUCCUAUCUUCCAGAGAAUUCAUUUCAAAAAUUAAGUAUCAGAGAAGGGAGAAAAGAAGCAAGAAAGAGGAAAAUCUUUAAUAAAUCUUGGGCCUAAAUGACA
rnacentral:lncRNA from 1 species